AGUGAACGCUGGCGGUAGGCCUAACACAUGCAAGUCGAACGGCAGCACAGUAAGAGCUUGCUCUUACGGGUGGCGAGUGGCGGACGGGUGAGGAAUACAUCGGAAUCUACUUUUUCGUGGGGGAUAACGUAGGGAAACUUACGCUAAUACCGCAUACGACCUACGGGUGAAAGCAGGGGAUCUUCGGACCUUGCGCGAUUGAAUGAGCCGAUGUCGGAUUAGCUAGUUGGCGGGGUAAAGGCCCACCAAGGCGACGAUCCGUAGCUGGUCUGAGAGGAUGAUCAGCCACACUGGAACUGAGACACGGUCCAGACUCCUACGGGAGGCAGCAGUGGGGAAUAUUGGACAAUGGGCGCAAGCCUGAUCCAGCCAUACCGCGUGGGUGAAGAAGGCCUUCGGAUUGUAAAGCCCUUUUGUUGGGAAAGAAAAGCAGCAUGUGAAUACCCCGCUGUUCUGACGGUACCCAAAGAAUAAGCACCGGCUAACUUCGUG
rnacentral:rRNA from 1 species